rnacentral:lncRNA from 1 species
AAGAUUUGGCCCGGCUGCCAUGCAGUCGGCCCGAAUAUCGGGGAUUACACCUAGUGGGUGCGUUUUGCGCACACCCAUGAUUUUGUUGACAUACUAAAGCAAGAGAAGAUUUAGCCUGGCUGCUGUGCAAUCAUGCAUCUGGCCCGAACCUCAGGAACUACAUUCAAUGGAUGCACCAUGGUGUGCCCACGGUUUGAAGACAUACAAAAGAAAAAUAAG